rnacentral:rRNA from 1 species
GACGUAGGGCGCGAGCGUUGUCCGGAUUUAUUGGGCGUAAAGAGCUUGUAGGCGGCUCGUCGCGUCGGGUGUGAAAACUUGCGGCUUAACCGCAAGCCUGCACCCGAUACGGGCGGGCUAGAGUUCGGCAGGGGAGACUGGAAUUCCUGGUGUAGCGGUGAAAUGCGCAGAUAUCAGGAAGAACACCCGUGGCGAAGGCGGCUCUCUGGAACGCAACUGACGCUGAGACGCGAAAGCGUGGGGAGCAAACAGG